CACGUUACAAUGUGCAGACUUAUUGGGGUCAUUUCUUUCAUAUAGGUCACUGAUGAUAAUAAACCACUUGCUGAUUUUUCUCUUGACAGAGGAAGUAGGUUACUGUGGUUCCAGGGAGAGUACCUUCCAACUUGGAUGUGUUGUAGAAGCUCUGCUGGAUAAGAAUCCCUGCAGAGGAAGCUGCUAUUUCUUUAUCCUGUGAAGCAUAAAGAAUGUUUUGUGGCAUAUCUGAGGAAUAAAUAUGGCUCUUUGUGCA
rnacentral:lncRNA from 1 species